GAUGAACGCUGGCGGCGUGCCUAAUACAUGCAAGUCGAGCGAAUGGAUUAAGGGCUUGCUCUUAUGUAGUUAGCGGCGGACGGGUGAGUAACACGUGGGUAACCUGCCCAUAAGACUGGGAUAACUCCGGGAAACCGGGGCUAAUACCGGAUAACAUUUUGAACCGCAUGGUUCGAAAUUGAAAGGCGGCUUCGGCUGUCACUUAUGGAUGGACCCGCGUCGCAUUAGCUAGUUGGUGAGGUAACGGCUCACCAAGGCAACGAUGCGUAGCCGACCUGAGAGGGUGGUCGGCCAAGCUGGGACUGAGACACGGCCCAGACUCCUACGGGAGGCAGCAGUAGGGAAUCUUCCGAAAUGGACGAAAGUCUGACGGAGCAACGCCGCGUGAGUGAUGAAGGCUUUCGGGUCGUAAAACUCUGUUGUUAGGGAAGAACAAGUGCUAGUUGAAUAAGCUGGCACCUUGACGGUACCUAACCAGAAAGCCACGGCUAACUACGUGCCAGCAGCCGCAGUAA
rnacentral:rRNA from 1 species